rnacentral:rRNA from 1 species
UAAGGAAUAUUGCUCAAUGGGAGAAAUCCUGAAGCAGCAACGCCGCGUGGAGGAUGAAGGGCUUUCAGCUUGUAAACUCCUGUAAAGAAGGAAAAAAUUCCCAUUAGAUGGGAAAUGAUGGUACUUCUAAAGUAAGCCCCGGCUACCUACGUGCCAGCAGCCGCGGUAAUACGUUGGGGGCAAGCGUUGUCCGGAUUUACUGGGUGUAAAGGGUGCUCAGGCGGAUUUGUAAGUCAGAGGUGAAAUCUCACAGCUUAACUGUGAAACUGCCGUUGAUACUGCAAGUCUAGAGUAUGGAAGAGAGUGAUGGAAUGUCUGGUGUAGCAGUGAAAUGCGUAGAUAUCAGAUAGAACACCAAUGGCGAAGGCAGGCACUUGGGCCAUUACUGACGCUAAAGCACGAAAGCGUGGGUAGCAAACA